AGUCUGACAUGCAUUUCAUUGGCAAUUCGUCUUCUUGAGAGUUGAAUAAAACUAUAGAAGCUACAUUCAGUUAAAACAGUGUGUCUGUGUUUAUUGUUGUUAUCAGGCUUAGAUAGAAUACGAGUAAUUACAGCUACAUUCAGUUAAAACAGUGUGUCUGUGUUUAUUGUUGUUAUCAGGCUUAGAUAGAAUACGAGUAAUUACAG